rnacentral:rRNA from 1 species
UGAAUACGAGACGCUAAGGCGUCGAAGUAGUGUAUGUCAUGCUUCCAAGAAAAGCUUGCACUGUCAUAGAUAAAAAACGCCUGUACCAUAACCGACACAGGUGGGUAGGUAGAGUAUACUAAGGGGCGCGAGAUAACUCUCUCUAAGGAACUCGGCAAAAUAACUCCGUAACUUCGGGAGAAGGAGUGCCUUAUUCUUAAGGUUGCAAUAACAAGAUCCAAGCAACUGUUUAUCAAAAACACAGGUCUCCGCUAAGUCGUAAGACGAUGUAUGGGGGCUGACGCCUGCCCAGUGCCAGAAGGUUAAAGAAGUUGGUUAGCAUUUGCGAAGCUGAUAACUGAAGCCCUGGUGAACGGCGGCCGUAACAAUAACGGUCCUAAGGUAGCGAAAUUCCUUGUCGGGUAAGUUCCGACCCGCACGAAAGGCGUAAUGAUUUGGAUACUGUCUCGGAGAGGGGCUCGGUGAAAUAGACUUGUCUGUGAAGAUGCGGACUACCUGCACCAGGACAGAAAGACCCUAUGAAGCUUUACUGUAACUUGAAAUUGAAAUUGGACUUUAUUCGCGCAGCAUAGGUGGGAGGCGUUGAUUAUAAUCUCGUGGGAUUAUUGGAGCCAUCAGUGAGAUACCACUCUUGUAAUGUUAGAUUUCUAACUUUGAAUCAUUAUCUGGUCAAAGAACAGUUUCAGGCGGGCAGUUUGACUGGGGCGGUCGCCUCCUAAACGGUAACGGAGGCGUACAAAGGUUUCCUCUGAACGGUUAGAAAUCGUAUCUAGAGUGUAAAGGCAUAAGGAAGCUUGACUGUGAGACCUACAAGUCGAGCAGGGACGAAAGUCGGUCUUAGUGAUCUGACGGUACUGAGUGGAAAGGCCGUCACUCAACGGAUAAAAGUUACUCUAAGGAUAACAGGCUGAUCUCCCCCAAGAGUUCACAUCGACGGGGAGGUUUGGCACCUCGAUGUCGGCUCAUCGCAUCCUGGGGCGGUAGUACGUCCCAAGGGUUGGGCUGUUCGCCCAUGAAAGCGGUACGCGAGCUGGGUUCAGAACGUCGUGAGACAGUUCGGUCCAUAUCCGGUGUAGGCGUUAGAAUAUUGAGAGGAGCCUUCUUUAGUACGAGAGGACCGAGAAGGACAUACCUCUGGUGUACCAGUUAUCGUGCCAACGGUAAACGCUGGGUAGCUAUGUAUGGAGUGGAUAACCGCUGAAAGCAUCUAAGUGGGAAGCCCACCUCAAGAUAAGUAUUCUCAU